rnacentral:rRNA from 1 species
AAGUCCCGCUCCCGCUCCGGCGACCGCCGCCGCUCGCCCAACCCUAUCCCUAGGCCCCGCGCCGACUACUACGGCUCGGCGCCCUCCCGCAAGAGCGAGCGCAAGCGCAAGCCCCGCUCCUUCCCGGACUCCGCCUUGCUCUCCCAGGCCAUUGCGCCCGCCUCUUCCUCGGGCGGCGGCGGCGGGCUCGGCCUCGGCGGCCACGGGGCCGCCCAGAAGCUCUGGACCGACGCCGACGAGAUCGCGCUGCUCAACGGCGCCAUCUCCUUCCGGGCGCGCUACGGCAUCGCGCCGCGGCUCCCGGACGUCGAGGGGCUCUACGAGUCCCUCAGGGACUCCCUCUCGUCGCACAUCAACCAGGCCAAGGUCUACUACAAGCUCAAGCGCCUCAAGAGCAAGUUCUGCAACACGGCGCUGCCGCCCACCAGCACCCCGCACGAGCGCCGGGUGCGCGCCCUCUCUGCUGACCUCUGGGGCACCGAGGUCGCGCCUUCAGCAGAGGAUCUCCCAGAAGCAGAAGAGCCCGAGGAGGAGGACGCAGAUGAGGAAUAUACUGGCGCGGAUGUGCCUGUGGCGGUGUCGGUGAGGCUGCCCUUGGUCAGCGAGCUGCUAGGUGAGUACUGGAGGAGGAACGGGCGUGCCAUGUCAGGAGUGUCACUGGAGAAGGGUUUGGGGUUACUUGGUGCAGAGGAGGGCAAUGUAGCCGAGACUAGAUGGAGGAGGCAGCUUGAUGCCGAGAUGCGCACACAGUUGCGCCGACAUGAUUUGGCAAAGGAGGUCUUCGGCUUGCUCAGCGACACCAUCAAAGGCCUAGGGCCUUAG